rnacentral:rRNA from 1 species
AGCGAACGCUGGCGGCAGGCUUAACACAUGCAAGUCGAACGGGCACCUUCGGGUGUCAGUGGCAGACGGGUGAGUAACACGUGGGAACGUACCCUUUGGUUCGGAACAACUCCGGGAAACUGGAGCUAAUACCGGAUACGCCCUUUUGGGGAAAGGUUUACUGCCGAAGGAUCGGCCCGCGUCUGAUUAGCUAGUUGGUGGGGUAACGCCCACAAGGCGACGAUCAGUAGCUGGUCUGAGAGGAUGAUCAGCCACACUGGGACUGAGACACGGCCCAGACUCCUACGGGAGGCAGCAGUGGGGAAUAUUGGACAAUGGGCGCAAGCCUGAUCCAGCCAUNCCGCGUGAGUGAUGAAGGCCUUAGGGUUGUAAAGCUCUUUUGUCCGGGACGAUAAUGACGGUACCGGAAGAAUAAGACCCCGGCUAACUCGUGCCAGCCGCC